UACGAAGGGGGCUAGCGUUGUUCGGAAUUACUGGGCGUAAAGGGCGCGUAGGCGGCCUCGUCCGUCCGGCGUGAAAUGCCUGGGCUCAACCUAGGAAUUGCGCUCGAUACAGCGAGGCUAGAGUGUGGGAGAGGUUGGUGGAAUUCCCAGUGUAGAGGUGAAAUUCGUAGAUAUUGGGAAGAACACCGGUGGCGAAGGCGGCUCACUGGCUCAUUACUGACGCUCAGGCGCGAUAGCGUGGGGAUCAAACAGG
rnacentral:rRNA from 1 species